AACGUAGGUUCCGAGCGUUAUCCGGAUUUACUGGGCGUAAAGCGCGUUCAGGCGGUUUGACAAGUCGGGCAUGAAAUCUCUCGGCUCAACCGGGAGAGGUUGUCCGAUACUGUCAGACUUGAGGGCAGUAGAGGGUGGUGGAAUUCCGGGUGUAGUGGUGAAAUGCGUAGAUAUCCGGAGGAACACCAGUGGCGAAAGCGGCCACCUGGACUGUACCUGACGCUCAAACGCGAAAGCGUGGGGAGCGAACAGG
rnacentral:rRNA from 1 species